rnacentral:rRNA from 1 species
UGCCGCAGCCGCGGUAAUACGAAGGGACCUAACGUUGUUCGGAAUAACUGGGCGUAAAGGAUGCGUAGGCGGUUGAAUAAGUUAUGUGUUAAAUAUAUGGGCUUAACCCGUAGAAGGCAUAUAAAACUGUCUAACUAGAGUGCAGGAGAGGUAAGUGGAAUUCCUAGUGUAGCGGUGAAAUGCGUAGAGAUUAGGAAGAACACCAGUGGCGAAGGCGACUUACUGGACUGUAACUGACGCUGAGGCAUGAGAGCAUGGGGAGCAAACAGGAUUAGAUA